GGAUGUGAGGGCAAUCGGACUGUAACAUCUGUCACCCUAUCGAUUGCCAGGACUGAUGCAGCUGAUCUGGCUGAUGAGGCAGGUGUCCCAGUACUUCCCCAGUGCUCCCUGUGCGUCACCCCCAAAACUGUGUGCUUUAUCAGAGGUGGACCACCCCUGUAGAAGAGGACCAUUGCCUUGGUCAAGGAUAUAGGAGUAGCUGCACUCCCCUGCGAGAACCUCCAACAAACUCUGAGAAAGUGGUCUUUCGAAUACCUAUAUGGAAUCUGCAUAUUUUUAUGUUUAAGACCUACUAC
rnacentral:snRNA from 1 species